rnacentral:rRNA from 1 species
CCUACGGGGGGCAGCAGUGAGGAAUAUUGGUCAAUGGACGAGAGUCUGAACCAGCCAAGUAGCGUGAAGGAUGACUGCCCUAUGGGUUGUAAACUUCUUUUAUAUGGGAAUAAAAUGUUCCACGUGUGGGAUUUUGUAUGUACCAUAUGAAUAAGGAUCGGCUAACCCCGUUCCAGCAGCCGCGGUAAUACGGAGGAUCCGAGCGUUAACCGGAUUUAUUGGGUUUAAAGGGAGCGUAGGUGGAUUGUUAAGUCAGUUGUGAAAGUUUGCGGCUCAAACGUAAAAUUGCAGUUGAAACUGGCAGUCGUGAGUACAGUAGAGGUGGGCGGAAUUCGUGGUGUAGCGGUGAAAUGCUUAGAUAGCACGAAGAACUCCGAUUGCGAAGGCAGCUCACUGGACUGCAACUGACACUGAGGCUCGAAAGUGUGGGUAUCAAACAGGAUUAGAUACCCCAGUAGUC